GUCUCUGUGGUGCAGUGGUAGCACGCGCCACCGGUAAAGGUGAAAUGCGGGUUCAACUCCGGCCUGAGAUC